UUGGGGCACCGCAGGAGAUGUGAUGUCAUGCAACUGGCUCACUGAUUUGUAGAGCUAACCCCCACAGAGUCACACACCUGGCUGUUGGGCUGCUUUUGUACGGUCUGCAUGCAUGGCACGUUGCCUCGGUGUACGAGGACAAAGAAAAGGGAGAGCCGAAUAUAAUAAUAAGAGGUUGUUCUAGGGGAUGGGUGGAAUUAGUAGGAAUAUGAAUGUGUUCGUGGUUGAUUCUCCACUGGUGUUGUGUGAAUAGAUGUUCAGAAUUGUGUUUGAGGGUCAAAGGCCAGCUGCUUGCUCCAAGCUUUCCUCGGAUCAUCCUUCCACGUCUGACUGCUGGUAACACUCACCUGGACGCUGCACUCGCAAUCCACCACAACCACCAUCCUUGUUAUUCUGGUUCACAUUUUCACCUGCCUACCUCCCUGCCUCCAUCUCUCAGAUCCACCGGACUCUCAGGAUUAACAAACUUCUCCCCAGAGCAAGCACCAGAUUCCAGUCAUGGCUUUCUCAUCACAUUUAGUAUCACUGAGUAUUGAGUUUUGUGUAAUAAAGUUUUCACGUCCAAGCCA